GAAAGGGGGUAACGCCUAAAACUAAAAAAGGCCUGAAAAGAAAGAACGCAGAUACUCUGCAAAAGCUGAGCGUCAUUUCCAUAGAACCCCUCCCCCCCCAACGUUACUUCUUCUUCCUUAUGAAACUAGACACACACCCAUAGCCAUCACCGAAAAAAUCAUCAGCCUCAACCACUGCUAUUCAUUCUCCUCCGUCCUCCUCUUUCUCUGUUACUACUGGCGACGGAGGGUGACAGAUUUGGCCAGAGAUCCGACAACCACUGUUGUUUCAUCGGAUUCGGCUACUGCUUCAUCAGAGUUGCUCUUAGAUUCCGACCAGAGUUAUCGUUUUGUGAUGGAUCUCAUUAACUCCGGGGAUAUCUCCAUAUCUUCCAGCCCUAAUAUCUAAGCUACAGCAGCCAAACCUCGAGAUUUAUUAGAAAAGAACCUUCAACGGUAAUAUCUUUCAUUUUGCUCUGAUUUUUCGAGAACGAUUCGGACACACACACAUACACGCAAAAUCACACAGAGAUAUAGUUGCUUCAGUCAUUUUGAUUUUUAGAUUUGUUAUGGAGUUCAUGUGAAUUUUUGAGUUUCGUUCCUUCUGAUUUUAAAAGAAAUUGACUCAAGUCCGGUCAUGGAGUUUUAGUUGAGUGUUAUUGCUGCUUCGUUGGUUCGGUGGUGAUUGGUCGAGGUUGUCGUGACUGUCCAAGUUUUCUAUAGUUAAACACUUUCAGAUUGCAUUUGGAAAGUUUGUCUCAGGUCCGUUCUUCUUAACCUGUUCUUGAUUAAUGUAAUUUUGAUGUUUUAAUCACUUAUAUGAGAAUGAAAGAAAAAUCCUGUUGUUCAUAGUUGUUGCUUUACUAUCCGGGUACAAUCUGUUCUAAUUGUUGCCUUGUGGUAUUGUUAGUAUGUAUUUUACAAUUCCAGCCUUUCCGGCUUUGGACGUUAUUGCGACUUGCCGUCGUUUUCUUGUCUGUGGUCUGUUAAUACUUGCGAGGUUCUUCUAGCCAUGAACGAACUGAAGUAGUAUUCAUGUAAAAUGAGAUCUAGAUUCCUCCUAUAUGUUAGUAUUGAAGUAGAAUGAGCAGAGAACAACCUUGAAAGGUUUAUGAUAAUAGGCUAAAUUGUUUAAUAUAGCCUAUGUUUUAGCUCAACUUAAGGAUGGUUUACUAUUGUAAAUGUUCAAAUAAUGCAAAAAUUGGCUCUAAUCAUGACUUUAAUGUCUCAUAGGAGUUCAAUAAACAAAUGAGGAUUUAUGAUGGUAAUCAAGUGAAAAAUGGAGUCAAAUGACGAAAAGUUGAGCAGCAACAUCUUAACAAGAGAAA
rnacentral:lncRNA from 1 species